GCCCAGGUGGUCUAAUGGCAAGAUAGCGCGGCCGUUAUGUUCUCGAAACUACAAUCUCGAGAACAUAGCGGUAGCGCAGACCGAGAUUCGAUUCCUGGCCCGGGUG